GCUUGGAUAGCUCAGUUGGUAGAACACGAGAGUCUUAAUCUCAAGGCUGUGGGUUCAAGCUGCAUGUUGAGCA